UUCCUAAGUAUUUCAUAACAGGUAAGAUGGAACUUUGGGCGAUAAGUACAAAUGCUUUUAGCAUAAAUGUAUAAAAGGUUUUAAUCAAAACCUCAUUAUCAGAGCAAAAUUUUUUCAAGUAAUGAAAAUACAUUAAUAACUAGAUUUCCCAAGUGUCAUUGGCUUCUGUCUGGCAUUUGACAGGUAUGACAAAUUCUGACCUCUUCAGCAAAAUUAUAGAAAUGGACGUGGAGAUUUUUUUUGUCCCGUUUGGGAGAUGGAUAAACUAGACACUUCUGUCCUCGCAGUCCAGAGCUAUGCAUAUGUUACAAUUCUUCUGACUCCAAGCCAGAUAAAGGGGAAGAGCUAAUGGUCUUGGGUUUCCUGUGGUAUACCCACAUACUCACUGUGGAGACUAUAAGAAAAUACUUCACACCUCCUAUUGUCUUUACUUUUCCAUAAGUGGAAAAUUUUCUCUGAAGUGGAUUCAUUAUCUCUGGCAUGGAUCAUCUGAGUGCACCUUCAGGAGGAGGUUGCUCUGCAAGAUUUUAGCAAAAGUCUCACAAGAGGACACUCUCACUGGGAGCUCCCUCCAACACUUAAUUGUCUCAUUCGAAUAUGUCAAUCUUGAAGCUGCUAAAUGGAACUUCAGAUAAUGCCUACAGAGAGUUUAGCAAUAAUACUUUGCCUACAGCACUCUGGCAGGACUGCAUGAGCUGUCAGUAUGCUUGCAAUGCAGUAGCAUUUCUUUGAAGUAACUAUUUAUUUUGGAAGCUUACUGUCAUUAACAGAAACCACCCCAAAGGAUGCAAUCUCCUCUUCUGAAGAUUAUUGUUUCAAGCUGUGAGUUUGGAGGUUUGCGUGUUUGUAUUCAGCUUACGAAGAGCAUCACAUUGUGGAAAGAUACUGGUAUAAAUAUUUUAGGCAAUGGAGGUGGAUAAACCAUCAUUAAAAAGAAGCCAAAUGUGCAGUUCCACAUGUGUUUCUGUUUGUUUAGGGUUUAGGUCUUGUUUGGUUGGUUAUUUUUAAUUUUUUUUUUUAAUUUCUGGGGGUUUUUAUAGUUUUUUUGAGUUUUUAUAAAGUUUUUGCUAUUGGUGUUUUGGGGUUCUAAAAUGAUUUUAUUUUAUUUUAUUUUAUUUUAUUUUAUUUUAUUUUAUUUUAUUUUAUUUUAUUUUAUUUUAUUUUAUUUUAUUUUACUUUAUUUUAUUUUAUUUUAUUUUAUUUUAUUUUAUUUUAUUUUAUUUUAUUUUAUUUUAUUUUAUUUUAUUUUAUUUUAUUUUAUUUUAUUUUUAUUUAUGCAGAUUUUUGCAUUCAAGGGUUAAAUCAGAAACCACACAGGCAUUGACU